rnacentral:rRNA from 1 species
UACGUAGGGACCGAGCGUUGUCCGGAUUUAUUGGGCGUAAAGAGCGCGUAGGCGGCUAUCCACGUCGGAUGUGAAAGCUCAGGGCUCAACCCUGAGAGGCCAUUCGAUACGGGAUAGCUAGAGGCAGCUAGGGGAAAGUGGAAUUCCUGGUGUAGCGGUGAAAUGCGCAGAUAUCUAGAGGAACGCCAAAGGUGAAGACAGGCGACUGGGCCAAAUCUGACGCUGAGGCACGAAAGCGUGGGGAGCGAACGGG